GUGCUCACUUCAGCAUGUAUACUAAAAUUGGAAUGACACAGAGAUUAGCAUGGCACCUAUGCAAGGAUGACAUGCAAAUUUGUGAAGCAUUCUAUAUUUAA
ensembl:snRNA U6 U6 spliceosomal RNA